UCUGAGUUCAGUAAACACAGAAGACUCACGACAUCCCCUCCUCCAUUAGGUAAAGGUAAAGGGCCCCCUGACCAUUAUGUCCAGUCAUGGCCGACUCUGGGGUUGCGGCGCUCAUCUGGCUUUAUUGGCCGAGGGAGCCAGCGUACAGCUUCCGGGUCAUGUGGCCACCAUGACUAAGCCGCUUCUGGCAAACCAGAGCAGUGCACGGAAACACCGUUUACCUAUUGAUCUACUUGCACUUUGAUGUGCUUUCAAACAGCUAGGUUGGCAGGAGCAGGGACCGAGCAGCGGGAGCUCACCCCGUCGCGGGGAUUCAAACUGCUGACCUUCUGAUCGGCAAGUCCUAGGCUCUGUAGUUUAACCCACAGCGCCACCCACGACCCUUCCUCCUCCAUUAGUUGGAGGGUAAAUCCGCGUCAUCAUGUCCUUUUUGCAAGGCGAACUCCAUUGGCCACAUCCCCUACAUCCCCAACCAAUCACUGUGUUAUGCAUGAGAGGGCACUCUACACAUACUAUCCAAUCAGGAGGUCCAUUCCGCACCAUGUCAGAAUCAGACCUACCCUUUGGAACUCCCUCCCACUGCCUAGCAGACAGGCAACUUCUCUAUUGUGUUUUCAGUGUCUGCUAAAGAUAUUCCUCUUGCAACAGGCCUUCUGAAACCUUUAUCCCUUUAUUGGUAUCUGUCUUGGACCUGAAUUGAUUUUUUCAUGUAUGCUGUUGUUGCUUUAAAGUGUUUUUUUCCCCCUGUGCAAUUGUUUUAAGUGUUUUUAUAUGUUGUCAUGUUGCAAAUCGCUUCAUGGGAACUGAUUCAUAAAUGAAAUAAAGAAUUUCGCAAAGAGGGCUUUGGAGAAUAGACAUCUGAGUUUGCUUGCUUUGCUGUUCCUUCUCCUUCGUCUCCAUCCCAUUUUGUGUCAUGUCUAUUACACUGCAAGUCAGCUGAGAGCGGCUUCUCUCUCUCUCUCUCUCUCUCUCUCUCUCUCUCUCUCUCUCUCUUUCCAUCAUCUCUAAAACUUUAAGUGUUCCACAGAUGGCAAGUGCUAAUAACAGCACAAGUAGCAACAAUGGCUCAUCUUGACUUGUACAGGGGUGUGCUCAAGCCAGUCCCUUGCUAUGAGUCGAGCCUUUGUGUCACGGGAUCGUUUUUUGCUGUGUUUUGCAGAUAGAAAGCCCGCUAGGCAAUAAGGGCAAAAAUAAUUUCCUUCCUUUUCCAUCAAUUGAACCCUUUGUAAUUCAUGCCUCCAUGCUUACAGCAUGUGAUGUGGAAAUAAGAGAAGCCUCCCUGUAUGAUUGGCUCUAGGGUGCUUCAAUGAGAGAGGCAGUCUAAGAGGGUGCAGUUCGCCAGCUGAGCAAGAGAAAUAAUUUGUGUGAAGGAGAUGGAAAUGGGGACUUCCAGUGCAAUGGCCGUAGCUCAAUGCAUGCAGGAUAAAUUAAUAUAAUCUGUUCCGUCUGCCAGACCUGACCUUGAUCUGAUGGUCGUGCGGCCUAGCCAUUAAAUUAUACAGUGAGAAAACACUUGCUUGGAUCUGUUGUGUUUGGUACCACUCAGCAAGCAGAAUUAUGUGUGUAAAAGGGCUUGUCCACAUUUACCUUUUGAAGUGUAGGUGGGUUUCCCACGGGGCAAGACACAGUGAUAACAGCAAGAACCUUUAUUGAACUACAUAACUGGACAACAGGGGUAAAGCAACUGCAUUUGGCCUGGGCCACUCCCACUCCCAACGUGACUGGCUGUCUAAACUUCCAAGCUGCGAAUCAUGACUCAAGAGUUUAAGGGCCAAUGGCAGAGCACCAAAUCCUGAAAUGUUCUGUGAUUGGAUAUCAUGUAUCGAAUCAGAAUACAAGAGCUCUGAAUCCUUAGUCCAGACUCAAGCUUAGGCAAACACAGACCGCUGAAUCCAUAACACGUUUCCUCUGCUCUUUCCAGGCCCAAUCCUUGCUUUAAAACUCCACGCCCAAGCACCCUUUUCUUCUGCUCCAGAGCUUUCCCCCACAAAAACCUGUUUUUUAGUGUUCCAUUGGAGUAAACAUCAACCCACAGUAAAUCUAAAUUGACGUUUGCUAUGAUUGAGUGUGUUUUCAUGGGGAAAGCUCCUGAAGCAAAAAGCACAGAUCUGUGCCUGGAAUGAAUUGUAGAAUCAUAGAAUUGUGGAGUUGGAAGGGUUCAUCUAGUCCAACCCCUUUGCGGGGCAAAAAGUAAGUAUGGAUAACCUCUUAGUUAGUGGUUCUUAAAGGAGCAUGGGGCAUCUAGUCCCAGGCCAGCUAGUGGCUUUCAGAUUUGAAGGCAGCAUGUUGCAAAUACUGCAGCAGCAGAGGGAGGGCAUUUCUUCUAGGGGACAGGGAAGUGAUCCCAGAAACAGCUAAGAGCAGCUAAGAAUGGGGAGGUAGGAAUUUGUGUGUGUGCACUGCAGCAAACCAAGGCCGGCCCUUUCAUUGGGCACAAUGAGGUAGGUGUGGCAAAAGAUUGCAGGGGCAGUCAGGUGUUGAAGGAUGAAGCUGUGUCUGCUGCACCCGCUAAGUCAGGGGUGGGCAGAACGCAGAUCAAAAUCUGCUAGUGGAUCCUGAGUGGCUAGCAGCAGAUUAGCAGGUGAUUCUGACUCCCAAUUGUGGUGUACUGGUAAGGACCUGGAAGAUCAGGGUUCAGAUCCCCUCUCCGCUACUCACUUACUCGCAGCCAAACCUACCUCAAAGAGUUGCUGGGCAGACCAUUGGACCUCAGGGAUUACUUUUGAUGCAAACUCGAACGGUGGCAAAGGCUUCUCAUGAGGUUUCCGCAACCUCUGCUUUCAGAAAUUAUUUGUCUGAAUGCACAGCUCUGAAGUCAAAACACACCAUGACAGUGUUCUGACAUAGUACGUUUCCGAGCACAAUUCAAAGUGUUGGUGCUGACCUUUAAAGCCCUAAACAGCCUUGGUCCAGUAUACUUGAAGGAGUGUCUUCACCCCCAUCGUUCAGCCCGGACACUGAGAUCCAGCGCCGAGGGCCUUCUGGCGGUUCCCUCAUUGCGAGAAGUGAGGUGACAGGGAACCAGGCAGAGGGCCUUCUCAGUAGUGGCGCCCACUCUGUGGAACGCCCUCCCUUCAGAUGUGAAGGAAAUAAGCAGCUAUCUUAUCUUUAAAAGACACCUGAAGGCAGCCCUGUUUAGGGAAGUUUUUAAUAUUUAAUGCUGUAUUGUUUUUAACACUCGAUUGGGAGCCGCCCAGAGUGGCUGGGGAAACUCAGGCAGAUGGGCGGGGUAUAAUUAAUAAAUUAUUAUUAUUAUUAUUAUUAUUAUUAUUAUUAUUAGGCUCUAUGUUCUCAAGGGGGUGCUUCCAUUGGAUGGUGAAGUCCUGUGAGAUGACUUGAUCAAGUUUUUGAGACUCCACCAGAAGCUUUCUUGAUAGGAAUUUUAGGACAACUGCCAAAAUAAAAAUGGACAUUAUUUAUGUACGCUACAGCAAGAAUUCUGAUAGCACAGAACUGGAAGGCUGGAGAAAUACCAUCAAAAGAACAAUGGCAAGAAAAGUUGAUGAACUAUGCAGAGCUGGCAAGGUUAACAGACAAAUUGCAUGAAAAGGACAAUAGUGACUUUGAAAAAGAAUGGGAACCUUUUACAUUAUAUUUGCAGAAACAACAACAAAAAAACCCAUGGACUCAUUGGCAGGAUUUAAAUAAACAUUUACAAUUUUAUUUACAAAAAAAAGAAAAAAAAGAAACUUAAUAGUAUGACAAUAUAGAACCAUAUAUAAACAGCAGAAUGUAACAUGAGAUGUAAUAAACCAGGGAUGGAAGCUGAGGGAGGUCAACAGGGAAGGGG